UGGGGAAUAUUGGGCAAUGGGGGCAACCCUGACCCAGCGACGCCGCGUGGGUGAAGAAAUCCCUCGGGAUGUAAAGCCCUGUUGUAUGGGAAGAGCAGAAGACGGUACCAUACGAGGAAGCCCCGGCAAACUACGUGCCAGCAGCCGCGGUAAUACGGAGGGGGCAAGCGUUGUCCGGAAUUACUGGGCGUAAAGCGCACGCAGGCUGAAUUAUAAGUCGGUAGUCAAAUACGGAGGCUCAACCUUCGUCUAUCUAUCGAUACUGUAAAUCUAGAGUAUGGGAGAGGGAAGCGGAAUUCCCGGUGGAGCGGUGAAAUGCGUAGAUAUCGGGAGGAACACCAGUGGCGAAGGCGGCUUCCUGGCACAAUACUGACGCUCAUGUGCGAAAGCUAGGGCAGCGAACG
rnacentral:rRNA from 1 species